UUCGGCCAUAGUGGCGCACGGGUGAGUAACGCGUGGGAACCUGCCCAGCAGUGGGGAAUAACUUCGGGAAACCGGGGCUAAUACCGCAUACGCCCUUAGGGGGAAAGAUUUAUUGCUGUUGGAGGGGCCCGCGUCCGAUUAGUUUGUUGGUGGGGUAAUGGCCUACCAAGACUACGAUCGGUAGCUGGUCUGAGAGGAUGAUCAGCCACACUGGGACUGAGACACGGCCCAGACUCCUACGGGAGGCAGCAGUGGGGAAUAUUGGACAAUGGGCGCAAGCCUGAUCCAGCAAUGCCGCGUGAGUGAUGAAGGCCUUAGGGUUGUAAAGCUCUUUCGGCGGGGACGAUGAUGACGGUACCCGCAAAAAGAAGCCCCGGCUAACUUCGUGCCAGCAGCCGCGGUAAUACGAAGGGGGCUAGCGUUGUUCGGAAUUACUGGGCGUAAAGAGCACGUAGGCGGUUCGUUAAA
rnacentral:rRNA from 1 species